rnacentral:rRNA from 1 species
AACCUCCGCAAUGUGAGAAAUCGCGACGGGGGGAUCCCAAGUGCCAUUCUUAACGGGAUGGCUUUUCAUUAGUGUAAAGAGCUUUUGGAAUAAGGGCUGGGCAAGACCGGUGCCAGCCGCCGCGGUAACACCGGCAGCUCUAGUGGUAGCAGUUUUUAUUGGGCCUAAAGCGUCCGUAGCCGGUUUAAUAAGUCUCUGGUGAAAUCCUGUAGCUUAACUGUGGGAAUUGCUGGAGAUAUUAUUAGACUUGAGACCGGGAGAGGUUAGAGGUACUCCCAGGGUAGAGGUGAAAUUCUGUAAUCCUGGGAGGACCGCCUGUUGCGAAGGCGUCUAACUGGAACGGUUCUGACGGUGAGGGACGAAAGUUAGGGGCGCGAACCGGAUUAGAUACCCGGGUAGUCCUAACUGUAAACGAUGCGGACUUGGUGUUGGGGUGGCUUUGAGCUGCUCCAGUGCCGAAGGGAAGCUGUUAAGUCCGCCGCCUGGGAAGUACGGUCGCAAGACUGAAACUUAAAGGAAGU